CCUACGGGUGGCAGCAGUGGGGAAUAUUGGACAAUGGGCGAAAGCCUGAUCCAGCCAUGCCGCGUGUGUGAAGAAGGCCUUCGGGUUGUAAAGCACUUUCAGUGGGGAAGAAAGCCUUGGGGCUAAUACCCUCGAGGAAGGACAUCACCCACAGAAGAAGCACCGGCUAACUCCGUGCCAGCAGCCGCGGUAAUACGGAGGGUGCGAGCGUGAAUCGGAAUUACUGGGCGUAAAGCGCGCGUAGGCGGUCUGAUAAGCCGGUUGUGAAAGCCCCGGGCUCAACCUGGGAACGGCAUCCGGAACUGUCAGGCUAGAGUGCAGGAGAGGAAGGUAGAAUUCCCGGUGUAGCGGUGAAAUGCGUAGAGAUCGGGAGGAAUACCAGUGGCGAAGGCGGCCUUCUGGACUGACACUGACGCUGAGGUGCGAAAGCGUGGGUAGCAAACAGGAUUAGAUACCCUAGUAGG
rnacentral:rRNA from 1 species